UUAAACUGAAGAGUUUGAUCAUGGCUCAGAUUGAACGCUGGCGGCAUGCCUAACACAUGCAAGUCGAACGGAAACGAUGCUAGCUUGCUAGCAGGCGUCGAGUGGCGGACGGGUGAGUAAUGUAUAGGAACUUGCCCAGUAGUGGGGGACAACUUAUGGAAACGUAAGCUAAUACCGCAUAAUCUCUACGGAGCAAAGCAGGGGAUCUUCGGACCUUGCGCUAUUGGAUAGGCCUAUAUUGGAUUAGCUAGUUGGUGAGGUAAUGGCUCACAAAGGCGACGAUCCAUAGCUGGUUUGAGAGGAUGAUCAGCCACACUGGGACUGAGACACGGCCCAGACUCCUACGGGAGGCAGCAGUGGGGAAUAUUGCACAAUGGAGGAAACUCUGAUGCAGCAAUGCCGCGUGUGUGAAGAAGGCCUUAGGGUUGUAAAGCACUUUCAAUAGGGAGGAAAAGUUAGUAGUUAAUAACUGCUAACCCUGACGUUACCUAUAGAAGAAGGACCGGCUAACUCCGUGCCAGCAGCCGCGGUAAUACGGAGGGUCCGAGCGUUAAUCGGAAUUACUGGGCGUAAAGCGCGCGUAGGCGGAUAUUUAAGUCAGAUGUGAAAUCCCUGGGCUCAACCUAGGAACUGCAUUUGAAACUGGAUAUCUAGAGUAUGGUAGAGGUGAGUGGAAUUUCAGGUGUAGCGGUGAAAUGCGUAGAGAUCUGAAGGAACAUCAGUGGCGAAGGCGACUCACUGGGCCAUUACUGACGCUGAGGUGCGAAAGCGUGGGUAGCAAACAGGAUUAGAUACCCUGGUAGUCCACGCCCUAAACGAUGUCAACUAGGUGUAUGGGGGUUUAUCCCUUGUGUA
rnacentral:rRNA from 1 species